CCGACGAUAGCUCAGUUGGUAGAGCGGAGGACUGUAGAUGUUCAAUAGUGAUCCUUAGGUCGCUGGUUCGACUCCGGCUCGUCGGA
rfam:Tetranychus urticae London genomic scaffold, scaffold_2